rnacentral:rRNA from 1 species
AUUGAACGCUGGCGGCAGGCCUAACACAUGCAAGUCGAACGAGUGGCGGACGGGUGAGUAAUGUCUGGGAAACUGCCUGAUGGAGGGGGAUAACUACUGGAAACGGUAGCUAAUACCGCAUAACAUCAGAUGGGCCGAGAGGGGAUGAGCUAGUAGGUGGGGUAACGGCUCACCAAGGCGACGAUCCCUAGCUGGGCUGAGAGGAUGACCAGCCACACUGGAACUGAGACACGGUCCAGACUCCUACGUGAGGCAGCAGUGGGGAAUAUUGCACAAUGGGCGCAAGCCUGAUGCAGCCAUGCCGCGUGUAUGAAGAAGGCCUUCGGGUUGUAAAGUACUUUCAGCGGUGAGGCGUUACCCGCAGAAGAAGCACCGGCUAACUCCGUGCCAGCAGCCGCGGUAAUAC